AUCACCCUGAAAAACCUGAGUAAGGAGUGCAGCUCCUGAUGAAAGGAGGAGCACUGAAAACCAGGAAAUGAUGUUUCUGGAACAGUCUGAUGACUGAAGCUGGAUGUUUGAAGUCUCAGUGAACUGCUUGUCUUUUCCCCACAGCUCCUCCCUCAGCGAUGUAUAUGGCUAUAUGUUAUGAACAAUGUGCUGAUGUCCGUAUCAGGCAAGUCGGCCCAGCUUUACUCGCACAGCCUGCCAGCUCUGUUUGAACAGAAAGGACAUCUGCACAAGAAACACAGCAGCCUGUCGCUCAGCACCAACCGCCUCACUGAGCGGAUCAGUCUCAGAAAGUUUACCAUAUCUGUAAAGAUUCCUGACACUAAAGGUUGUAGGAGGUGCAGUGUAGGUAAGCAAUGCCGAGUUACUCUGGUCAGUC